CGGCGAGUGAAGCGGCAACAGCUCAAAUUUGAAAUCUGGCCCUUGGGUCCGAAUUGUAAUUUGUAGAGGAUGAUUUUGGUGCGGUAUCUUCCGAGUUCCUUGGAACAGGACGCCUUAGAGGGUGAGAGCCCCGUACGGUUGAAUGCCUAGCCUCUGUAAAUCUCCUUCGACGAGUCGAGUAGUUUGGGAAUGCUGCUCUAAAUGGGAGGUAAAUUUCUUCUAAAGCUAAAUACUGGCCAGAGACCGAUAGCGCACAAGUAGAGUGAUCGAAAGAUGAAAAGCACUUUGAAAAGAGGGUUAAAUAGCACGUGAAAUUGUUGAAAGGGAAGGAUUUAUGACCAGACUUUUUCUGGGCGGAUCAUCCGGUGUUCUCACCGGUGCACUUUGCCCAGUUUAGGCCAGCAUCGAUUUUUGGAGAGGGAUAAAAGCUUUAGGAAUGUGGCUCCUCCGGGAGUGUUAUAGCCUAUUGUAUAAUACCUUUCCGGGGAUCGAGGUACGCGCUUCUGCAAGGAUGCUGGCGUAAUGGUUAUCAAUCACCCGUCUUGAAACACGGACCAAGGAGUCGAACAUUUGUGCGAGUGUUUGGGUGUUAAACCCUCACGCGUAAUGAAAGUGAACGGAGGUGAGAGCCCUUACGGGUGCAUCAUCGACCGAUCCUGAAGUUUUCGGAUGGAUUUGAGUAAGAGCAUAACUGUUCGGACCCGAAAGAUGGUGAACUAUGCGUGGAUAGGGUGAAGCCAGAGGAAACUCUGGUGGAGGCUCGCAGCGGUUCUGACGUGCAAAUCGAUCGUCAAAUCUGCGCAUGGGGGCG
rnacentral:rRNA from 1 species